AGGCGCUGUGUGAACUGAAAAGUUCAGGCACGGUGCUGAAGGCGGGCGGGGCUUCGUGAGAGGUCUCGCCUAGCUAAC
rnacentral:ncRNA from 1 species